UGCUCGAUGGCCGUGCUUGUCGCGUGCCCGUGGGCUGGGCGCCUGAAGCAGGGCAAGGCAGAGCAUGCCGUGGCCUAUGAACUUUGCUAUUUUUCAGGUAUCAGGAAAUGGAAUCACCUGAUAUUUGCAAGCCAUGCCCGACAUAAGAUUGUAUUUCUUGGUGUACUGUAACCGUAGAGGAUUGGUUGAUCAAGGACUCAUGUGACCAAGAGCAAUGGUGUUGUCGAGCUGCUGGACAAGUGAGAUAUUUUAUGUCUUCACAACCGUAUUGUCGAAUAUAACUUAUGGUAGAUCAUCUUUGUCUGAUAAAAUGUUGAAGAUAAAUAUGACUAGAAGGAG